GUAUAUGCCAAAUGAAAGAAAUGAAAAGACAAUUAAGACACUGCAGACCUGUGAGGACCUAAAAAGUAAACACAUAAGAGGUAGAAUUAAUGUUCAAUUUAUGAAAUGUAUACAUGUUAGUCCUUGCUUAGAGUACAAUUUCAGUUACUUUUGUUACAACUUAUUGUUGCUGUGUUCGUCCACCUUGGACGUUUAUAUAUAUAUAUAUAUUGUUUUUUAAUUACCCCUAAGCAAAGUUGCCUAGUGGUUGAUAUUUUAUUAUAAGUCUUAAAAGCAACAACAGUACAGAGUAAAGUUCAAAAAGGAAAGUAAAGUGUAUCUGAAACCAAAAAGUACUAAGCCACCUAGAAGCUUCCACCGGAGCUUAACUUGGUCGGAAUUUAACGCCGGAGUCGAUCGGAAUCUUCAAUUAGACAAAGAACAUAGUUUCUCCGAUAUGACAUCGCCCUUAUCGCAUCACAAACUCUCACCCGAUGCAGUGAUUUCAUAUCCAUGGAGUUUCACUCGGAGAAGCCCGACUCUUCAGUCUAAAAAGCUUCAAUGUCAAGACCAGCAUCAGAUCUAAGCGAUCUGAACAAGGUUAGUCCCCAAUCCAAGUUAAUCUCAGCUGAAAACACUCCAAUAGGUAGAUCUCCAUGUCUCGCCUUCGGUCCUUUCUAUAGCUCGAGAUCAUUAUUAAAAGCUGCUUGUACUUGUUGAUACCCAAUUUUGGCUCUCCUUUUUAUUUAAUUAAUUUCACUAUGCUUCUCCGUCGUGAAAAUUCCCCAAUAAAUGAGUUUGGAAUAUUUUCGCUAAUUAUUACACUAUUUUUCGAGAUAUAUUUCUCUUAAGUUAAGGACAUUUUUUAUUGUUUCCUAAAAAUUACCAAACAUCAUAUUUUUAUAAUUAAAAAUUACUAAACAACAUUCUUUACAAUUAAAUCACUCAAAAAAUAGUGUUAAUAUUCCUAUAUCGAUAUUAGCAUUGACAUUUCUCCUUUAAUACUAUUUCUUACUAUAUUAAUCAUAUUUUACUCUAUUUUAAAACUAAAUACUUAUAUUAAAUACUCGUAUUGCAGUUUAUAUAGAUAUACAUUUUGUGGGAAUUAAUUAGGACCAAGGAGCAUAUUUUAAUUAAUUGAUUGAAGUAAGAAGGGAUGAGAAAAUAAUUUACCUACCUAAAAUUUGGGCCAAAUCCUAUUACUAUCCUACAAAAUCUGUGGCCCAAAAACGCCCCAGCCCAAAUCCCCAACCCGGCCCAACACCCAAACCCACCUAAACUAAGUCUUCAACCUUUUCCUUUCAUUCUAACCGAACGAACCAAACAGCCCCUUUCUCUUUCUCCUUCAACCAAUAGCCCUAACCUCGUCUCUUCCACCUCGCCGCCACCCCACCCCCCAUCGUCAUGUCGUCUCACCACCACCACGCCCAUCAGACCACGGAACCAAACACCCCACUCUCUCGUUAACCCAAAAACAUCGAAACCCGUUGGUUUGAAGCUUUCACCGCCUCCACUGCCACCACGUCUCUUUCCCUUUGAUUGACGUGGUGGCAGAGCCGAAAGGAGCCGAUAUAUGUCGUUUCAACCCCUGUAGAAGAGGAGUGCAAUGAACCGCUAGUUUCAAGCUCGAACUCUCCUUCGAUUCAGUGGGUAAUGGAGGAAUCUACCAUGUACUACACCCCAACGACCUUUUCCCUUCCCAAUCAGUCUGAAAAGUUCUCGGCUGAGCAAGGACUGUUUGGAGCGGAUUCAGAGAUCCGACGACGACAUUAGCCUCAGUUCGCUGUCACAGAGAAGGUAACCACACUCGUCCUCUCUUCGUCUUUCAUUUUUAUAAGAAGUAGAAAUGUAGUCGUUCAAGUAUUUCUCAUCGUUUGCUUGGUUUGGUUGGCUGAAAUGUGUUCUCUCCUCGUUUGGUGUAAAUUAGUGUAAGGCGACGAAAUUCGUCGAAUAUGUGUUCAACCCCGUUCGUUGCUCGACAAAAAACGAUAAUUUUCUUUCUCGUCUUAGCAUUGUUCUUCAAUUAUGUAUAUUUCCAGUUUUAGGUAGAUUAGAUUAGCUUUAGUCCUGUUUAAGUAAGAUGUUUAGUUUUCCUCUUAAAAUAUUUCUUAUUCUGCGAUUCUGUUUAGCGUCAUGUAAUUCAGUUUAGUUUCAAUCUCGUUAAGUUAGAUAACUAAGCUUUCUUUCCCUAAACUCUCCGGAGGGUGCAAAACAUGAAUUCAUACUCCUUUGGUUAAAAAUCAUGAUUUUCCCUUAGAUAAUAUGAUCUGUAGAGUAGACUUAUAGCCAUGUGUCUUUAAUAUUAAUAAAUGCAUUGUUAAUUUUGGGGAUUCAUGAGAAUUAAGUUACUUUCAACUUUGUUUGAUUUAGGUUCCCCAUAAUUGUUUAUACUUUGUGUAGAUUGGUUUGGUUUUCAAUUCUAGUUGAACUAAAAUGCUAGCCUUUCUUUUCAAGUUCUUUGUGUAUUCCAAGUGUUGACUAGUUGUUUGAUUCUGUGUUGGUUCCAUAUGGAUCAAGUGGGAGCUUUACUGUUGCACUUUGGCGAUAACCUUGCUGUUUUUACUACUUGCUAUUUAUUGAUGUUGUUUGCUGCUACAUCUUGGUGCAAGGGUUGCUAUGCCUUAGGCAUAUUUUACUGCAUAUUUUUUUUAGUUAAACUAGUACUGCCUUGGUUUCUCGUGUUGCUGUCUCUUAGAAGGCUAAAACUGACAUCCUCUAUUGCACUGCUUGCUGUUUUGCUUCUAAACUACUAUGUUUACUUAUUGCGGCCUUCAAAUGCACAUUUUCCCUGCCAUCUUGGGCUGGUAAACUACUGUUUUUAGAGCAGUUGCCUGUUACAUAUAACUACUUUUAACUGCUACCUGUUGGUACUAUCUGGUUGUUGCUACAUAUCAGUCAGUUUUCAACUGUCUUUGUCCAAGAAAAAGGAGCAGAUGCUACACCUGAGUUUCCUAUUUUAGUUGUCUCUGAUCAGUGGUUACACCUUGAUGCUAAGUUGUUAGCAUACUCUGUUGCUGCAUUUAUAAAACAGAAACUGAAACUACACUUGAGCUAUUGUAUUUUGGUGGUGCUAGUACAGUCCUUUUGAGCUCCUACUAUGGGCUGUUUUCAUUUAGUUGUUGUUAUGUCUAUUGAUUAUGUGAGCCACAUGUUAUGGUUUAUAUGUUGCUGCAUCUAUAUAAGCUGCUGCCUUAAAAGGAAACAGUCCGCUCACUUUAGCACUAUAUUACCAUAACUAAGUUGCUGUACUUUGAGCAUUUCGUGACGGUGCUUGAUAUGCUGCUGCUCUAUGAAUUGCCUCAGUUUGAUGCUUCAGUCGAGUUUGUUAUUUGAUAGGGGCUUUUGUUCCAUUUUCGGAACAAGCAGAUGUUACACUUUGAUGCUUUACACGAUUUGAACAUGAUACUACACUGGGGCCGAUGAAAAGUUGUUUAACUUGAGGCCUCACUUUUAAAAGAACGGAUUUCCAUACUUGAUUGAAAGUUUACUGAUUUGAACACUUAAAACUUGCAUAAAAAGGGAGUGGGGCUGCUAUACUCAAGUUCGGGUGCAAUUAAUAUGCUAAAUUAUUUUUUCCUUAUUUGAACCUAGAAAAAAUAUGCUAAGUAUCUCUGGAUAUAUGUUGUUUGGGAAUAAGCCAAUACGAUGUUUUGAAGUCUGAGUAAGCUUUAGUUUAAUCAAAAGUUCUUGUUGUACAUUUAGCUUGAAGCGUUUGGUUGUUUGGGUAGCAAUUGGGACUACAAUGAUCUUCUUUUAAACUGAUCGUGGUGUUGCGUUCUGAGAAUAUGACAUGAGAAAGCCUUGUCUCACAUUUGAUUCUUUUAUCUAGCUUUUAUUAAUUAAAGUUAUAGAGACUUCUUUUUCCUUGUUGAGAAUUGUUUCUAAUCCUUAUCUUUUUUUUUUUUUCAUGAGGAACCUUGGGAGCAUUUGGAGUUAUGGCAACUCUGGAUUCUGCCCAUAUCAGAGAACAACCAGUUGCAAGAUUUAAUUGCUCGUGUCUAGCGUCCCCGUCUUCCUUCCUCUCUUUAAAUUUCGUGUUAUCAUGUAUAUACAUGUUUAUAUUCUUGACUAACAUUUUUAUGGAUUGUAUUUGUAGCACAUUUGUUUCUCGCUUGUGUAGGAACUUACGGAAAAAUAGUUAAAGUAUGAUGGUAAAUUUAGUCA